GCCUGGGUGGCUCAGUCAGUUGAGCGACUGACUUCAGCUCAGGUCAUGAUCUCAGGGUUUGUGGGUUCGAGCCCCACAUCACGCU
rfam:Felis catus isolate Cinnamon breed Abyssinian chromosome A1, whole genome shotgun sequence.